GAUGAACGCUGGCGGCGUGCCUAAUACAUGCAAGUCGAGCGAACAGACGAGGAGCUUGCUCCUCUGACGUUAGCGGCGGACGGGUGAGUAACACGUGGAUAACCUACCUAUAAGACUGGGAUAACUUCGGGAAACCGGAGCUAAUACCGGAUAAUAUAUUGAACCGCAUGGUUCAAUAGUGAAAGACGGUUUUGCUGUCACUGAUAGAUGGAUCCGCGCCGCAUUAGCUAGUUGGUAAGGUAACGGCUUACCAAGGCAACGAUGCGUAGCCGACCUGAGAGGGUGAUCGGCCACACUGGAACUGAGACACGGUCCAGACUCCUACGGGAGGCAGCAGUAGGGAAUCUUCCGCAAUGGGCGAAAGCUUGACGGAGCAACGCCGCGUGAGUGAUGAAGGUCUUCGGAUCGUAAAACUCUGUUAUUAGGGAAGAACAAAUGUGUAAGUAACUAUGCACGUCUUGACGGUACCUAAUCAGAAAGCCACGGCUAACUACGUG
rnacentral:rRNA from 1 species